rnacentral:rRNA from 1 species
GCCAGCAGCCGCGGUAAUACGGAGGGUGCAAGCGUUGUCCGGAUUUAUUGGGUUUAAAGGGUGCGUAGGUGGCUUUCUAAGUCUGACCUGAAAGUGGGCCGCUUAACGGCACAGGGUGGUUGGAUACUGGAGGGCUUGAAACAAGUGGAGGCAGGCGGAACGGAUUGUGUAGCGGUGAAAUGCAUAGAGAUGAUCCAGAACCCCGAUUGCGAAGGCAGCCUGCUACGCUUGCUUUGACACUGAGGCACGAGAGCAUGGGGAGCAAACAGGAUUAGAUACCCUGGUAGUCCACACCGUAAACGAUGAAUGCCAGUCGUCGGGUAGCAUGCUAUUCGGUGACACACCUAACGGAUUAAGCAUUCCGCCUGGGGAGUACGGUCGCAAGACUGAAACUCA